UAAUACGAAGGUGGCAAGCGUUACUCGGAAUUACUAGGCGUAAAGGGCAGGUAGGUGGUUUGAUAAGUCUGUUGUGUAAGCUCCCGGCUUAACUGGGAGAGGUCAACAGAUACUGUCAGGCUUGAGUAUAGGAGAGGUUACUGGAAUUCCCGGUGUAGCGGUGAAAUGCGCAGAUAUCGGGAGGAACACCAAUGGCGAAAGCAGGUAACUGGACUAUUACUGACACUCAGCUGCGAAAGCUAGGGGAGCAAACAGGAUUAGAUACCCUGGUAGUCCUAGCUGUAAACGAUGCACAUUAGGCGUGAGGGGUAUCGACCCCCUUCGUGCCGACGCAAACGCAUUAAAUGUGCCGCCUGGGGAGUACGGCCGCAAGGUUG
rnacentral:rRNA from 1 species